rnacentral:rRNA from 1 species
GACGAACGCUGGCGGCGCGCCUAACACAUGCAAGUCGAACGAGCGAGCGAGAGCUUGCUUUCUCAAGCGAGUGGCGAACGGGUGAGUAACGCGUGAGGAACCUGCCUCAAAGAGGGGGACAACAGUUGGAAACGACUGCUAAUACCGCAUAAGCCCACAGGUCGGCAUCGACCAGAGGGAAAAGGAGCAAUCCGCUUUGAGAUGGCCUCGCGUCCGAUUAGCUAGUUGGUGAGGUAACGGCCCACCAAGGCAACGAUCGGUAGCCGGACUGAGAGGUUGAACGGCCACAUUGGGACUGAGACACGGCCCAGACUCCUACGGGAGGCAGCAGUGGGGAAUAUUGCACAAUGGGGGAAACCCUGAUGCAGCGACGCCGCGUGGAGGAAGAAGGUCUUCGGAUUGUAAACUCCUGUUGUUGAGGAAGAUAAUGACGGUACUCAACAAGGAAGAGACGGCUAACUACGUG